rnacentral:rRNA from 1 species
CAGUCGCCGCGGUAAAACGUAGGGUGCGAGCGUUAAUCGGAAUUACUGGGCGUAAAGCGUGCGCUGGCGGUUUUGUAAGACAGGCGUGAAAUCCCCGGGUUCAACCUGGGAAUGGCGCUUGUGACUGCAAAGCUAGAGUGCGGCAGAGGGGGAUGGAAUUCCGCGCGUAGCAGUGAAAUGCGUAGAUAUGCGGAGGAACUCCGAUGGCGAAGGCAAUCCCCUGGGCCUGCACUGACGCUCAUGCACGAAAGCGUGGGGAGCAAACAGGAUUAGAUACCCCCGUAGUCCCUGUCUCUUAUAA